rnacentral:rRNA from 1 species
UACGAAGGGGGGCCAGCGUUGCUCGGAAUCACUGGGCGUAAAGGGGUGCGUAGGCGGGUCUUUAAGUCAGGGGGUGAAAUCCUGGAGCUCAACUCCAGAACUGCCUUUGAUACUGGGGAUCUCGAGUCCGGAAGAGGUGAGUGGAACUCCGAGUGUAGAGGUGAAAUUCGUAGAUAUUCGGAAGAACACCAGUGGCGAAGGCGGCUCACUGGUCCGGUACUGACGCUGAGGUGCGAAAGCGUGGGGAGCAAACAGG